rnacentral:rRNA from 1 species
UGCCUACGGGUGGCUGCAGUGGGGAAUAUUGGACAAUGGGCGAAAGCCUGAUCCAGCAAUGCCGCGUGAGUGAUGAAGGCCUUAGGGUUGUAAAGCUCUUUUACCAGGGAUGAUAAUGACAGUACCUGGAGAAUAAGCUCCGGCUAACUCCGUGCCAGCAGCCGCGGUAAUACGGAGGGAGCUAGCGUUGUUCGGAAUUACUGGGCGUAAAGCGUGCGUAGGCGGUGACUCAAGUCAGAGGUGAAAGCCUGGAGCUCAACUCCAGAACUGCCUUUGAAACUAGGUCGCUAGAAUCUGGGAGAGGUGAGUGGAAUUCCGAGUGUAGAGGUGAAAUUCGUAGAUAUUCGGAAGAACACCAGUGGCGAAGGCGGCUCACUGGACCAGAAUUGACGCUGAGGCACGAAAGCGUGGGGAGCAAACAGGAUUAGAUACCCUGGUAGUCAA